rnacentral:rRNA from 1 species
GGACUACAGGGGUAUCUAAUCCCAUUUGCUCCCCUAGCUUUCGUUCCUCAGUGUCAGUUACAGCCCAGCAAGCCGCUUGCGCCACCGGUGUUCUUCCCAAUAUCUACGCAUUUCACCGCUACACUGGGAAUUCCGCUUGCCUCUACUGCACUCCAGUCCACCAGUAUCCAGUGCGAUCCCGAGGUUGAGCCCCGGUCUUUAACACCAGACUUAAUGAACCACCUACGAACUCUUUACGCCCAAUAAAUCCGGACAACGCUCGCAUCCUACGUCUUACCGCGGCUGCUGGCAC